GACGAACGCUGGCGGCGUGCUUAACACAUGCAAGUCGAGCGGUAAGGCCCUUUCGGGGGUACACGAGCGGCGAACGGGUGAGUAACACGUGGGUGACCUGCCCUCAGCUCUGGGAUAAGCCUGGGAAACCGGGGUCUAAUACCGGAUAUGACUCCAUGACGCAUGUUGUGGGGUGGAAAGCCUUGUGCGGCUGAGGAUGGGCCCGCGGCCUAUCAGCUUGUUGGUGGGGUGAUGGCCUACCAAGGCGACGACGGGUAGCCGGCCUGAGAGGGCGACCGGCCACACUGGGACUGAGACACGGCCCAGACUCCUACGGGAGGCAGCAGUGGGGAAUCCUGCGCAAUGGGCGAAAGCCUGACGCAGCGACGCCGCGUGAGGGAUGACGGCCU
rnacentral:rRNA from 1 species